rnacentral:misc_RNA from 1 species
CCGCCCACAGACACACUGAUAUCAUGCGUGUCGCGAGCACUGCACCGAGACUCACACGCAUGCACAUACGCAGAACUACGCAUAGAGCUAACGCUACACAGACCCACUCAAGCAUACAUACUCAUACAGCGACGAGAGAUUCACAGAAACAUACAACACAAGAAGAGAAUUGGACUCAGCAGCGACGCGCGCACACGCUGCACAGCUCGUGCUGCCGCUCUCCUCAAGUCCGGGGCUGCCGUGGAAGCCGUUGCACCGUGCGCGCGCCCGGCACAACGGCCAUCGCGGAUCGUCUAUCGGAGAAGCAAGGGCAAACUAUCGACGGCGUCCGCUCUUGCUCACAGGAUGUCUGAUAGCACCUUCAAGAUCCUUCUCACGACCGACAACCACCUCGGCUUCGCUGAGCGCGACCCCAGACGAGGCGAUGACAGCUUCACCACCUUCGAGGAGGUGCUGCGCGCCGCGCGCACCGAGCACGACGUAGACGCCAUGCUCCUCGGUGGCGACCUUUUCCACGAAAACAAACCCAGUCUCGGUUGCCUCGUCCGCGCCUGCUCCCUUUUCCGCAAGUACGUCUUCGGCAACAAGGCCGUGCCCUUCUCGCUGCUCAGCGACCCGGCGACGAACUUCCCGACGCACGCGCUGCCCAUGGCCAACUUCCAGGACCCCAACAUCAACGUCGCGCUGCCGGUGUUUGCUGUCCACGGUAACCACGACGACCCCGUCGGCGGCACCUCGUCGCUCGACCUGCUCGCAACGAAUGGCUACCUCAACUACUUUGGCCACGUCACCUCCCUCGAAGACAUCAUCCUCGAGCCGGUGCUGCUGCGCAAGGGAAGCACCUUCAUCGCCCUCUACGGCCUCGGUAACGUGCGCGACGAGCGACUGCAUCGCUGCUUCCGGCUGAAGAAGGUUCAGUUUGUCUAUCCGAAGCCAGUGCCUGGCCGCAAGUGGUUUAAUAUCCUGCUACUGCAUCAGAACCGCGGCGUGCGUGGCGUGGCGAGCAAAAACGGUAUCAUGGAGGGAAUGCUCGCCGGCUUCGGCAUGGACCUCGUGAUCUGGGGGAACGAGCACGAGCAGCUCAUGGUGCCGCAGCCGGCGGACGGCUUUGAUGUGGUGCAGCCAGGCAGCACCAUCAUGACAUCCCUCUCCGCGCAGGAGUGUAACCCAAAGCAGUACGGCAUCCUCGAAGUGCGCGGCACAUCGUACCGGCUCACUCCAUACACGCUGCGCAGCGUGCGUCCAGUCGUGCGACGCACGGUAGAGCUUCGCCAGGAUCUGCCUGACGGCCGAACGCUUGACGCGGUGGAGACCUUCCUGCAUAACGUGAUGAGCGAUAUGAUCAGCGAGGCCGAGGAGCACGUGAGCCACAUCCCCGAUGACGUCCUCGCGUUCCAUCCCAACCUGAAAUAUCCACUCAUUCGCUUGGCUGUGGACUUCACCGACGUCACGUCUGCGCCGUACCCGCAGCCGAACUUCAACCGCUUUGGCCAGCAGUACAUGGAUGUCGUCGCGAACCCAGGCGAGCUGUUGCGGCCGGUAAAACCGAAGCCGGAGCGGCGACCUAGUGCCGGUGCUCUGGGCACGGCCCUCGGGCCUGGCGGCGUUGCUGCGAGCGGCCUCAUCGUCCCGGCAGCGCCGCAACUCAACACGCUCGACAUCCGCGUGAAGGUCGCGGACGUCUUCAAUCACAACGCAAAGAACGCGUGCACGCUCCUCUCCGAGGCGGAGCUGAGCGCCGCCGUCUACGCCUUCGCCGAAAAGGGCGAGCGGGAUGCGAUCGAUGAACGGCUGAUGGAGCUGCUGCACACCUCUCAGAAGUCGGUGUGGCGCCGGCUAGGGAACGGCGCGAACGACUCCAUCUUGAAGCCGGACCGCGUUGCGGAGGAAGUUGCCACGCACAAGCGUCACGUCAACGAGCGCUACGCGCGGGCUGCUCAGCUGGAGGAGGCACAACAGCAGCAGCAGAUGGGUGACACUGAAGAAAAUGAAGACGACGGCGUCGCUGGGGAGCGAGAAGGCCGAGGUGGCGCUGCUUCACCAUCGCUGCAUCAAGCGGAGCGCAGACGCGAGCUCGAUGCAUUCGAGAUGAUGCGCGUCGCCGCUCCUCCCGCAGACCUCGCCACCAGCGACAGCGGCAGCGGCAGUGAAAACCAUUUCCAUGGUCGUUUUGCACAAACGUCCGUCUCGCGACUGGUGCAACAUGCCAUUCAACAAGGAAGCGAGAAUGGCGUGGACGCAGCGGCGGGCACACCGGGCCAGCGAGCCCGGCGGUGCGGCGGUGCCCUCGUCGAGGCCGGCGCCGACGAGGACGGCCAGGACGAUAAGAGUGAGGAGCUUCCUGAUGACGGGCUGGAUCGAAUGCCGAUCGACAGCGUGAUUGCGCAGGCGGUGCAGCAGGUGUACCCGCCCUCGAAGCGAGCGCGAAGCGCUCACGUUCGCGAUGUGGAGGCCGUUUUGACUGGCGACAAAGGCUCCAGCUGUGGCGUCGGUGUUGGCGGUCCCCAUGAGGUCAGCACCGUGCACGCUUUUGACGGAAACGACGAUGAUGACAGCAGGGUGCACGGCAUCUCUAGGCACGGCCGCGCUCGCAAUGAAGCUGGCGAUGUCGGGAAGGCUCCCGCCUCCGCUAAAAAGCAGCAGCGCCCCACCAGCGCGCGCCGCGGCGGCGGCGGUGGCAGUGCUGCAGCUCGCCAAGGCGCACUAUCGGCAGCCAACGCGGGUUCCCUGAACGCGGCGUCGGCAACGGCAGCUGGCGCAGGCCCUACGCUGACCUUCGUUGCGCAUCAGGGGGUUUCGGCGGUGCUGCCACCUGGCAACAGACCGGCCACGGUCACCAGCAGCGGCAGUGUCGGCGUGUCAAAGGGGGCCAUGGUGAAUCUUCUGUCCAAGUGGACAGGUGGAUCUCAGCAGCGGCACUAGCACGAGCGGCGGCCGUGUGGUUGCACGUGCAUCUGUGCGGGCGUGUCCUUCUCUGUCGUAGGAAAGCGCCGCUUCGUGCUGCGCUUUCGUCUCUCCGUCGGCGCAUCGCGUGAGAGCGGGCGCUUGCCAUCGUCUCCUGCCUCUCGGCCUUUCUUUC